rfam:Singulisphaera acidiphila DSM 18658, complete genome.
CCCAGGGCUCGCGCCCUGGGCUAGAAACGGUCGCCCCUUCGGGGCU